GUAGAUGGGUGUGAAAUAGUGUUGAAAAUAAAAGUAGAUUAGAAUGGAGAUGUAGAAAGUGAUGGGUGAUGAAGAUAGGUGAUGUAGAAGGGUAGUGGAUGGUGUAGAUGGGUGUAAAAUUGAUAGUAAUGAAGUUAAGAGGUAAAUGUUAAAGUGUAGAAGGUGAUUGAUGAAAACGGGUGAUGGGUGUUGCUGGUGAUGACGAUAGGGAUGUGUAGAAGGGUGAUGGUGCUGGAGAUGGGUGUGAAAUAGAUGGUAAUGAAGAUAGAGGUGAAUGAAAAAGUGUAGAAGGUAUGGGUGAAGAUAGGUGAUGGGUGUUGUUUGUGAUGACGAUAGGGGUGUGUAGAAGGGUACUGGGUGGUGUAGAUGGGUGAAGAAGAGUGUAAAAAGGGUGUUGAAAAAGAUAGUGGUUAUAAAAUCGUAGAGAAUGAUAAUUGAAGAAGGGUGAUGUAGAGGGGGAGUGGAUGAUGUAGAAGGGUUUAAAAAAAAAAGAUUGGUGAAGAUAGAACUUGAUAUAGAGUGUAAAAAGUGAUGGGUGAUAAAGAUAGGGUGUGUAGAAGGAUGAUAGGUGGUGUGAAUGGGUGUUAAAAGGAAAUGGAUAAGUUUAGAAAAUGAUAGUUAAUUAAAGGAGGUCGGUGAUGAAUUUUGAUAGGUGAUGAAGAUAGGGUUGUGUAGAUAGUGUAGAAGGAAG